GUUGGGGUUUAAACAGUAACUGUAUCAUUUGUAUCAACUGGGUUAGGGUUCACAAAAUGUUUUCUUUUAUGUCCAGGACCAGGAGCUCAGGCAGUUUUCAACUGUGUGGUUGAAAUUGGCAAAGGUAUCAAGGUUAGGUGUGAGUUGCACAAGACAAGUGGACUUCCAAAGGUGUGGUUCACAGCUUUCAUUACUUAAAUUGUUCCUCCAUAGAUAACGUAGGAGACAUAGGGUUCAGAAGGGGGAGGAUGCAAGGCACUAUACCCUUUACACUGGGAUCUCAGGCAACAUUCUUUCUUCGGUAAAGUGGAUCACCUGCUCUAAGAGAAUGCAAGGUUCAAGAGUCUACAAUAGGCACGCAUCUACAUUUAUAUAUCUAUAUACAUCCAUGCAUAUAUUAUAUUAUUACUCUUUUAGAUCAAGUUUUUGUUCAUUGCAUUUUAAUUACAAGUGAUUUUGUUUUCUAUGUUUGCUUUAAUAGUGAUGUUGCAAUUGUGUCUAUCAUUGUUGCAGGCUUGCAGCUAUGUGAAGCGGCCACGAAUCAACAAAAGAGUACCCUGUUCCAAACAUUUUUUGGCUCCAUUUUGACUAUAUAUCUAGAUUUAGUCAGGGUGUCAUUUAUUACUGCUGCAAUGCAACUAAUGAUUAAAAAAAUCGAAAAAAAAAAGAUCAUAUUUUAGGGUUUUUGUAAGUUCAAAAAAUGUAGUAUAGGAAUAUAAUAAAAGUUUUGUGCAGGGUUUUA